AGAAAACGAGUAGCCAACAAUUGGAUUGUUUCCUUCCCUAGGAAAGAAACUCUGCAUUGGAUCGCACGCGCAUGAUUUCCUCUCCACCUCCCCCGCCCCCUGUGACACACCUCUGCCUUCUCUUUCCGCUUGUUUCCCCCUCUCGCUCAAGAAGAUUCAUGGGCCAUGGCUCUGCCUCUUCUUCAUCUUUGUGCGGAUCUGGGCGACGGGCAGCUUCGUCUUUGUGCGGAUCUGGGCGACGGACGACCUCCCUAAAACGAGGAAUCUCCCUGGCAUGAGGAAUCUCGCUGGGGUGAUAUCCAAAUGCGUCGAGGAGGAGGCGAGGAAGAUGGCGUCCACCACAUGGCGCGGCCACCCAGCGCUGGAGAACGGAGACGGUGACGCUCGAAGAGGACGACGACCGCGCCGGCAGACAAGGGGUGGUGGUGGAGGCCCUCCUGUUCUUCAGGUUCUUUGUUGAUUUGUUCGAUACCGGUGUUGUUAAGCAGCAAGGUACUUUGAUUUACUUGCUUUGCUAUUUCCUCGUAUGUAUUCAUGUUGCCUGUUUUACCUAUCUUUCUAUUUGUGGGCUUCCGAUCUCUUUAGAGAAACCGUGUCUGUAAUGCCCCGGCGGUGCUAGGGUUCGCGGGAGAGGAAGGGGAUGAGGAUCAGAGAGAGGGAGUGGGUGAGGACGAGAGAAAAGGGAGGGGGUUGAUCUCAAUUCAUUCAUCAUGCCCUGAUCGGAUCUCGACACUCAUUUAAGUAGCUUCUCGCUCGCCAGACCAAUACUCACACACACACUACACUUACAUGGGCCGUGGCCCAACACCCGACUCGUUGCACGCCACUUCACUAGUUGUACGCUUCAGGUUUAGUUAACUAUUAAACCUGAACCUGAACCUAAAGGCGUUAUAGUUCCCUUCUUUAUUUAUGGUUACCAUGGUUCUUUGCUUCCUGCUUCUUGCUUUGGGAGGGACAUGCACAUUUACGUUCAUGUCCAUGUUUGUAUGGUUUGCCCAAUUCUCAGUACACUGUGUUACAUGUUCAGGCCAUUGCUUUGGGCAAAAUGUCUAUAAUCCAGACGCCAUAUUACUUGUUGCUUCUUGCU